rnacentral:tRNA from 1 species
GCUGUGGCUCAGUGGUAGAGCAUCUACUUUGCCCGCAGAAGUUCCCAGGUUCGAUCCCUGGCAUUUCCA